rnacentral:rRNA from 1 species
AGUGAACGCUGGCGGUAGGCCUAACACAUGCAAGUCGAACGGCAGCACAGUAAGAGCUUGCUCUUACGGGUGUCGAGUGGCGGACGGGUGAGGAAUACAUCGGAAUCUACUUUUUCGUGGGGGAUAACGUAGGGAAACUUACGCUAAUACCGCAUACGACCUACGGUUGAAAGCAGGGGAUCUUCGGACCUUGCCCGAUUGAAUGAGCCGAUGUCGGAUUAGCUAGUUGGCGGGGUAAAGGCCCACCAAGGCGACGAUCCGUAGCUGGUCUGAGAGGAUGAUCAGCAACACUGGAACUGAGACACGGUCCAGACUCCUACGGGAGGCAGCAGUGGGGAAUAUUGGACAAGGGGCGAAAGCCUGAUCCAGACAUACCGCGUGGGUGAAGAAGGCCUUCGGGUUGUAAAGCCCUUUUGUUGGGAAAGAAAAGCAGCAGGUUAAUAACCCGAUGUUCUGACGGUACCCAAAGAAUAAGCACCGGCUAACUUCGUG